AGCAGCCGCGGUAAUUCCAGCUCCAAUAGCGUAUAUUAAAGUUGUUGCAGUUAAAAAGCUCGUAGUUGAAUUUCGGGAUCAAGGAAUCGGUCAUGCCUCGGUAUGUACUGGUUUUAUUGGUUCUCACCUUCUAAAGAACCAUGAUGUCAUUCAUUUGAUGUUAUGGGGAAUUAGGACUGUUACCUUGAAAAAAUUAGAGUGUUUAAAGCAGGCUUACGCUUGAAUACAUUAGCAUGGAAUAAUGAAAUAGGACAUCAGAUUCUAUUUUGUUGGUUUCUAGGAUCGAUGUAAUGAUUAAUAGGGAUAGUUGGGGGCAUUAGUAUUCAAUUGUCAGAGGUGAAAUUCUUGGAUUUAUUGAAGACUAACUACUGCGAAAGCAUUUGCCAAGGAUGUUUUCAUUAAUCAAGAACGAAAGUUAGGGGAUCGAAGACGAUCAGAUACCGUCGUAGUCUUAACCAUAAACUAUGCCGACUAGGGAUCGGAUGAUGUUUACUUUUUAGUGACUC
rnacentral:rRNA from 1 species